UCGCUGCCAGCCUGCAACAUCCAUCUCCAAAGGUAGCGGUCAAUUACGACCUCUCUAUCGCCAUCACCAGCUUUAGUGUCGGCAGGCAAGAUGGCCGAAUUCUUCAGCUGACAAGGCAAGCAGAGAUCGACAAUUUUUACCGCCUUCAACACACAGCUACAACUCGUGCAUUAUUUGAGUGCAUUACCACAUGACGUAUAUAUGUAGGCAUUCACCUUCUUCCUCAUGUAUAUAUGUAUGUAUAUAUAUAUAUAUAUAUAUAUAUAUAUAUGUAUAUGUAUGUGUGUGUGUGUAUGUGUGAGUAUAUAUAUAUAUAUGUUUUUCGGUUAUACUUUUCUUGUCUUCUCGGCGUUUGCUCUCUUCCAUUAUUCUUCCAGAACGCUAGUAUUCUCUGUAUAUUACCAUCCAAUUCUUUUUCCUCAUAACUCCAAUAUUUUAUCGUCCAUUCUUCUUUCCCACUUACUUUACAUUUCUUUCAUUCUUUUCUGGUUUUAUUCCAUAACAUUUCCCUUAUUCAUUCGUGCACAUUCUUUUCUUGUACAUUCUGCCGAAGAAAUAUUUAAGAUUUAUAUAUUUAGGCUUUUCGUUAGUUGUCGUCUGGUGUUUCCUUCUCUAUAUUUUUCUUUCAAAUUCCUAUCUAUUUCAUUUUACCUCUUUCUUUCGUUCAAUAUGUCUUUAUUUUCGUUAAUCUUUAUAUAUUUUUAACUCCCUUUCUCUUUUAUAUAUAUAUAUAUAUAUACAUAUAUAUAUAUAUAUAUAUAUUUAAAUGCAAACAUACAGAUAUACAAUCAUUCUUAAUGUUUUCAUAGGUAUUUAUAUAUACAUAUAUACAUUCUAGUCUCUCCGUUUUCUGUCUUUUCCUGUCUUUAUGUUUACACAUUUAUAUAUAUGCAUGCCUAUAUAUAUAUAUAUAUAUAUAUAUAUAUAUAUAUAUAUUUAUAUACAUGUGUGUGUGUGUGUAUGUAUGUAUGUAUGUAUAAGUGUGCACGUGUGUGUGUGUGUGUGUGUGUGUGUGUGUGUGUGUGCAAACAAUAACAUAUAAAUGUAUAUGUAUAUAUAUGUAUGAAUAUAUAAGUGUGUAUAUGAAUGUAUUUAUAUGUCGGAGUGUGCAUGUGUGUGUGUGUGUUUGUGUAGGUAUGCGUUUGUGUGUGUGUCCUCUUCAGAGUGAAAAUAUGGUUUGAAUGGAGUCUUAUAAUUCUCUAUGCCUUGAUGCUCCUUCAAUACCUUUCUUUCCCCCUCUUAGCUUGGAACCCUUUUCAGAAACCCUUAAUUUUACCUAUCAAAAUAUUUUAUAACUUUUAUUCAUAUUUCUAUUUCAAAAACAGCGAUGCCGUCGCCAUUGUUGUUGUUGUGGUGGUGGUGGUUGUAGUGUUGUUGUUGUUGGUGGUGGUGGUGGUUAUACUUUCCCCGCUUUCUCACUUCCUUCUAUGUUUUCUCCGCCUUUCCUGUUCACUCUCUUUCUUUCUUUUGCUCAUUCCUUCGAAUUUCUUUCGCAUUGUUUUUCUUUUCCUCUUCUGUUUCCUUUCCUCUCUUUUCCUCUCUUUCUUCUCCUUCUUUCCUCUUCUCUGUCUCUCUUUCCCAUUUCUACUUGCAUCUCUUUGCGUUGAUCACUUUCCCUCAUUUUCUCCUCCGUUCUUCUUUUCCUCUCAUCUCCUUUCCUUCUUUCUUCAUUUCUUUCUCCUGUUAAGCAAAACUUAUAGAUUAUUCAAUUAUUUGCUUUCUUCCUCAUGUAACACAUGUUAUUUCAUUUCUUCAUUCUUACCAUCCACCUCACACUAUCACUCUCUCUUCUUCUAUCUUUUUCUUUCUUUCUCUCUCUCUCUCUCUCUCUCUCAGUCUCUCUCUCUUUCUCUCUCUCUGUCUCUCUCUUCCUCUUAAUUCAGCUGUCUUAUUAUCAUCGCUCAUUCUCAUUCACAACAAACACUUCACUAUCCUUUCUAAAUUUCAUAUAAUUGUUUAUCUUCAUUCCAGCCAUAAAACCAUCUUAAUUAUCUUCUUUCCUCAUUCAUUUGUGUCUUAAAAUCCUUCUCUUACUUUAUUCCUCAUUUCACUUCUUGUAUUUAAGUUGCUCCAAUAUAUUUUUUGUCUAUUUAGACAAAAAAUCGCAUUUUCAUUGAAAUUGUUUUCGUUUAUCUAUCAGGAGUGGCUGUUGGAUAAGAAGCUUGCUUUCCAACCACAAAGUUCGGGGUUCAGUCCCAUUGCGUGACACCUUAGGCAAGUGUCUUCUACUAUAGCUUCGGGCCAACCAAUUCCUUGUGAGUGGAUUUGUUAGGCGGAAACUGAAAGAAGCUCGUCGUAUGUAUGUAUGUAUAUAUAUGUAUAUAUAUGUAUGUAUGUAUAUAUAUUUGCGUGUGUAUAUAUAUAUUUGUGUAUCUGUCUAUGUUUGUCCCCCCACCAUAGUUUGACAAACGAUUUUGGUGUGUUUACGUCCCAGUAACUUUGCGGUUCGGCAAAAGAGACCGAUAGAGUAAGUACUAGACUUAGAAAGAAUAAGUCGUGG
rnacentral:lncRNA from 1 species